rnacentral:rRNA from 1 species
GACGUAGGAUGCAAGCGUUUGUUCGGAUUUAUUGGGCGUAAAGCGAGCGUAGGUGGCUAGAUAAGUCUGGUGUUAAAGCUAGGGGCUCAACCCCUGUGUUGCACUGGAAACUGUCUGGCUUGAGGAUGGUAGGGGAAGGUGGAAUUCCGAGUGUAGCGGUGAAAUGCGUAGAUAUUCGGAGGAACACCGGUGGCGAAAGCGACCUUCUGGGCCAUUUCUGACACUGAGGCUCGAAAGCUUGGGGAGCAAACGGG